ACUGCUCAGUAACACGUGGACAACCUGCCCUUAGGUUGGGUAUAAACCCGGGAGACUGGGUAUAAUACCCGAUAGGUCUCGAUUGCUGGAAUGCAUCGAGAUUUAAAGCUCCGGCGCCUAAGGAUGGGUCUGCGGCCUAUCAGGUAGUAGUGGGUGUAGCGUACCUACUAGCCUACGACGGGUACGGGUUGUGAGAGCAAGAGCCCGGAGAUGGAUUCUGAGACACGAAUCCAGGCCCUACGGGGUGCAGCAGGCGCGAAAACUUUACAAUGCUGGCAACAGCGAUAAGGGAACCUCGAGUGCCAGGUUACAAAUCUGGCUGUCGAGAUGCCUAAAAAGCAUUUCAUAGCAAGGGCCGGGCAAGACCGGUGCCAGCCGCCGCGGUAACACCGGCGGCUCGAGUGGUAACCGUUAUUAUUGGGUCUAAAGGGUCUGUAGCCGGCCGGAUAAGUCUCUUGAGAAAUCUGGCAGCUUAACUGUCAGGCUUUCAGGAGAUACUGUCUGGCUCGAGGCCGGGAGAGGUGAGAGGUACUUCAGGGGUAGGGGUGAAAUCUUGUAAUCCUUGAAGGACCACCAGUGGCGAAGGCGUCUCACCAGAACGGACCUGACGGCAAGGGACGAAAGCUAGGGGCACGAACCGGAUUAGAUACCCGGGUAGUCCUAGCCGUAAACGAUACUCGCUAGGUGUCGGCCACGGUGCGACCGUUGUCGGUGCCGUAGGGAAGCCGUGAAGCGAGCCACCUGGGAAGUACGGCCGCAAGGCUGAAACUUAAAGGAAUUGGCGGGGGAGCACCACAACGGGUGGAGCUUGCGGUUUAAUUGGAUUCAACGCCGGAAAUCUUACCGGGACCGACAGCAAUAUGAAGGCCAGGCUGAAGACUUUGCCGGAUUAGCUGAGAGGUGGUGCAUGGCCGUCGUCAGUUCGUACUGUGAAGCAUCCUGUUAAGUCAGGCAACGAGCGAGACCCCUACC
rnacentral:rRNA from 1 species